AAGUCGUAACAAGGUUUCCGUAGGUGAACCUGCGGAAGGAUCAUCGUUGGUGUUUUUGUGUCUGUGGGCACUGACUUUUGUGUCUGUGGGCACUGACUUUUGUGUCUGUGGGCACUGACUUUUGUGUCUGUGGGCACUGACUGAGUUUUUCUUUCGAAUCCCAACCAAGAGGAGAGGAGUUGACUGAGGUUUGCGUGGAGGGAGAAAAGGACAAAACUUUCAACAACGGAUCUCUUGGCUCUCA
rnacentral:misc_RNA from 1 species